rnacentral:lncRNA from 1 species
CUCGAGAGCGCUUCAGGAACGCGGGCAAGUCCAAUUUGCAGAGUGGCCAAAUGAGCAGUCCCCACCCAGCCAAACCUCAGAAAGCCAAUCAGAUGGUUUCAGAACAGCAGCCAGUGGGAGAACCGGGGUACGCAGGGGAGUGUUGAAGAGAGAGUGCGCGCGCGAGAAGAGAGAGAUCAAGAGAACGGGCAUCGCCAGCUGCCCGGGGGGCCUUCACUUUGCAGUCAUCAUCUGUACAAACUCUGUGGAGUGAAGCAGAGAGAGAGGAGAGAUCAAGCCUGGCCUUGACU